AGGGAGGGAGGGACCUCCAUGUUAAAUAGCCUGGAAACAUCAGCUGCUGUCCUCUUCAUUAAUGAAGUUAGGUCCGCUUCACCACAGACUGUACCGUCCUAAUGGCACCCUAUUCACUAUCUAGUGCACUCCUACUUUAUAUAAGUCUUGGAUGGAUGGCUGGUGAUGUUCAGGGGAAGACUAAGCCCUUACUACUUCAUAUAAGCCUUGGAUGGAUGGCUGGUGAUGUUCAGGGGAAGACUAAGCCCUUACUACUUCAUAUAAGCCUUGGAUGGAUGGCUGGUGAUGUUCAGGGGAAGACUAAGCCCUUACUACUUCAUAUAAGCCUUGGAUGGAUGGCUGGUGAUGUUCAGGGGAAGACUAAGCCCUUACUACUUCAUAUAAGCCUUGGAUGGAUGGCUGGUGAUGUUCAGGGGAAGACUAAGCCCUUACUACUUCAUAUAAGCCUUGGAUGGAUGGCUGGUGAUGUUCAGGGAAGACUAAGCCCUUACUACUUCAUAUAAGCCUUGGAUGGAUGGCUGGUGAUGUUCAGGGGAAGACUAAGCCCUUACUACUUCAUAUAAGCCUUGGAUGGAUGGCUGGUGAUGUUCAGGGGAAGACUAAGCCCUUACUACUUCAUAUAAGCCUUGGAUGGAUGGCUGGUGAUGUUCAGGGGAAGACUAAGCCCUUACUACUUCAUAUAAGCCUUGGAUGGAUGGCUGGUGAUGUUCAGGGGAAGACUAAGCCCUUACUACUUCAUAUAAGCCUUGGAUGGAUGGCUGGUGAUGUUCAGGGGAAGACUAAGCCCUUACUACUUCAUAUAAGCCUUGGAUGGAUGGCUGGUGAUGUUCAGGGGAAGACUAAGCCCUUACUACUUCAUAUAAGCCUUGGAUGGAUGGCUGGUGAUGUUCAGGGGAAGACUAAGCCCUUACUACUUCAUAUAAGCCUUGGAUGGAUGGCUGGUGAUGUUCAGGGGAAGACUAAGCCCUUACUACUUCAUAUAAGCCUUGGAUGGAUGGCUGUGUAUUUGAGGUUGGUACCAUGUUAUAUUCAUUUAAUCCUCUUUCCCUAUUCUGAUGCGUAAUUAGUAUCAGACAAAACUGUUGCUUCAUAGAAACAAACAAGUAAACCCUGAGCACAGCAGUGCGUCAGACAACUUACUUAUUCACAUUGAGAUAUAUACUGUACUGUACUGUGCACCUGUUGGUGGUUGAAUCUUAUCCAGCUAAACAUCCUGUCUACCAUAACCUGCAGAACAGAAUAUCCAGCAACAAUAACCCAGCAGUCCAACCAUCAUAGGGUGAAGUUGCCUUAGAUGCUGACCCUGGGUCAGUUUUUCCCUUUACCCCACUAAUGGUUAAGGUUAGGAUUGGGGAGGGGAAGCUGAUCCUAGAUCUGUACCUAGGGGCAACCUCACCCUAGAGCUAUCUAACAGUGGGUCACGCUUAUCCCUUUUUCUAGACAGAUCCUAGCCUGGUUAAACCAGACUGAAUGCUGUAUUCACCAUGAGAGGAGUGCUCAGUCUAGUUUUAAUCAGGCUAAAAAUGCUCGUCUUUGACUAAUAUGCAAAUCGCUAUUGGUGACCAUUUUGUCACGUUGGCUCCUGUCCUGUCGAUGAAACGUUUGUAAUAGAGAACCUCAUCUCAGGAUGACAUGCCUCUUCCUGGUUUCUGUCAUUGAUAUUAAUUUGUGAUGUAUUUUCCAUCCCCCAUUCUGACUGUCUGUCUUCAUCUGGGGUUAAUAGUGCCCCUCUCCUAUCACAGCCUUAAAUGAAAAGCCUUGAGGCCAGUUUCCCAGACACAGAUUAGAGCUGCAAUAAUGUAUAGCUUUUUGGGUGACCUGACCAAAUUCACAUAGAAAUGUUAUAGAUCUGUUAUUUCCAUUGAAAGCAAGUCUAAGAAGGUGGUAGAUCUGUUAUUUUCAUUGAAAGCAAGUCUAAGAAGGUGGUAGAUCUGUUAUUUUCAUUGAAAGCAAGUCUAAGAAGGUGGUAGAUCUGUUAUUUUCAUUGAAAGCAAGUCUAAGAAGGUGGUAGAUCUGUUAUUUUCAUUGAAAGCAAGUCUAAGAAGGUGGUAGAUCUGUUAUUUUCAUUGAAAGCAAGUCUAAGAAGGUGGUAGAUCUGUUAUUUUCAUUGAAAGCAAGUCUAAGAAGGUGGUAGAUCUGUUAUUUUCAUUGAAAGCAAGUCUAAGAAGGUGGUAGAUCUGUUAUUUUCAUUGAAAGCAAGUCUAAGAAGGUGGUAGAUCUGUUAUUUUCAUUGAAAGCAAGUCUAAGAAGGUGGUAGAUCUGUUAUUUUCAUUGAAAGCAAGUCUAAGAAGGUGGUAGAUCUGUUAUUUUCAUUGAAAGCAAGUCUAAGAAGGUGGUAGAUCUGUUAUUUUUCUAUGCUUCCUGUUUUAUAGUUUAGUUUUUUGGGGUCUUUUACUUUGGGUUUUGUACACCGGCUUCAAAUCAGCUGAAAAUACAAUGUUUUUGGUUCUGGAAGAUCUAUUUCACAGCGGUUUAGAUGCUACAAUGAUUCUCUACACUAUACAUGCUUGUUUUCUCACACGUUGAAAUUCGAAUUUAAAGCAACCAGGAAAUGUCGGUGCGAUAUCUGCAUAGUGCAUCUUUUACGCCUAGUCUUGGACUCAAUGGAGAUUCUCCAUUCAGCAUGAUUUUAGAAUCCAGCACUAGGCUUCAUCUGUGUCUGGGAAACUUCUAGAACUACCACCUCUACCAUGUCACUCUGAGCUCUAUGUCAGCCUGUUGCUCUGUCAGCCUGUUGCUCUGUCAGCCUGUUGCUCUGUCAGCCUGUUGCUCUGUCAGCCUGUUGCUCUGUCAGC